rnacentral:rRNA from 1 species
UAGGGAAUAUUGGGCAAUGGACGCAAGUCUGACCCAGCCAUGCCGCGUGGAGGAUGACAGCCUUAGGGUUGUAAACUCCUUUUAUAUGGAAAGAACAGCAUCCUUUUCAGGAUGUUUGACGGUACCUUAUGAAUAAGCACCGGCUAACUCCGUGCCAGCAGCCGCGGUAAUACGGAGGGUGCAAGCGUUAUCCGGAUUCACUGGGUUUAAAGGGUGCGUAGGCGGAUUAAUAAGUCAGAGGUGAAAGCCCGGAGCUCAACUUCGGAAUUGCCUCUGAAACUAUUGAUCUUGAGUUUGGUUGAUGUGGGCGGAAUAUGUCAUGUAGCGGUGAAAUGCGUAGAUAUGACAUAGAACACCAAUUGCGAAGGCAGCUCACUAAGCCAAUACUGACGCUGAGGCACGAAAGCGUGGGUAGCGAACAGG